rnacentral:lncRNA from 1 species
CCACUCGUGAAUCUUUUGUACGGCAUCUGACUUCGCCUGACGGAACAUCUUGGGUCGUGUAACAUCCUCCGGUUCAGAUUCAAUACAGUUCACUUCGAUUGGGUAUAAUUUCGUGAUUGGGCGGUUGGUGGUUCCGUUUUUAGUGCGAAGUUUUACAGUUCUGAUAAGAUUAUCCUCUCCUUUUACGAGUUCUUCGACAACGGCGAGUUUCCAUGAAUUUCUUAAAGUUUCGUCAUGUAUUUGAACAACAUCACCAAUAGCUAUCGAUUGUUCGUUAUUUCCUACACUUCUGUGAUGUUCCCGUAAUGAGGUCAAAUACUCAUAUUUCC